rnacentral:rRNA from 1 species
CCUACGGGUGGCAGCAGUGAGGAAUAUUGGUCAAUGGUCUUACGCCUGAACCAGCCAAGUAGCGUGAAGGAAGACUGCCCUAUGGGUUGUAAACCUCUUUUAUCAGGGGACAAUUGGCGCUACGUGUAACGUUCUCUAGAGUACCUGUAGAAAAGGCAUCGGCUAACUCCGUGCCAUCAGCGGGGGUAAUAGGGAGGGUCGGACCGUUAUCUGGAUUUGUGGGGUUUAAGGGGUGUGUAGGCGCAAUGCAAAGUCACCGUGAAAAUCCCGGGCUUAAACCUGGCUCCGCCGCGGAAACUGGCGUUCUUGAGUGGGCGAGAAGUAUGCGGAAUUCGUGGUGUAGCGGUGAAAUGCAUAGAUAUCACGAAGAACUCCGAUUGCGAAGGCAGCAUACGGGCGCCCUACUGACGCUGAAGCACGAAGGCGCGGGUAUCGAACAGGAUUAGAUACCCUUGUAGUC